UUAAAAUAAUAAGUAACAAAUCCCUAGCUCUCUGGGGACAGAAAAUGGAUAUCCAUUCUUGCUUGGAGUAUCAGCAAAGUAGCAGGGGUGGAGGAAAGGGACUACACUUGAGACUUUCCGAGCCUCUUUACUAUUUAUCAGGGACAGAUUCCAUGUGGAGAUGUUUUAAUUCAGAAAGAAAAGCAACUCCCUAGGUCCAUUAUUCAUGCCCUAGAUUGACUUCAAUAGCCAUCAACCUCCCAUCCGCCACACCCCAGUAAUGAGAUGGCUCUUGGGCAGCCACAUUUCUCAACCCAUCACUCAGUCCUGGCCUCUGCUCACUGGACUCAGAGAGGAAUGUGAUCUAAGGACAGCCCACUGAGAGUCUGGCCAGCAACCCAUGCUGUGACUUAGCAUGGUAGAUUGAGCGCGGCCAGUCACGUUCAUCCUCAAGAACAGAACUAAGACAGAAAGAACAGAGUAGAUAACAGUGACCUGAGGCUGAAGGAAAGUUCUGGGGUAGAGUAGAGACCAUGAGGUACCAUUUUCAGGGAAAAAUUAUGAGGGAGCAGGAACUGAAAAGAAACAGAGACCAGGAAUAAAUUAUCGAACACAGAGAAGACGGAAAAAAUGAGCCAACUGGAAGAGAGAAACAGACACAUCAAGAGGAGCUUGGCGGGGCCAAGAGCCGCCAGAUCUGCAGUGGUUGAAAGAGCUUCCCCGUGUCCUGCUCUUCCUAGCAGAGAUUUAUUUAGCUGUGUUUUACUCAGAAGAUCCUGUUGACAGCUGGGGAUGGAUGCACACGACUGUGUGAUUACAGAGCUCUAAGAAAUGACAUGAUGGGAAGAGAGGAGUGUAAACCAUAAGGAAGUGAUGCCUGGUGACAGCGUUGACAGUACAGAGCUGUAGCAUCAUGCCUGUGCGCGCCAAGGGAAGAAACCAGAAGGAAGGUUACCUCGUUUCUUCUAGCUGUUUCCUUUCAAGCCCUUAUUCAGGAUUUUAUCUGUUUUGGAGGGAAACUCAGGUGCUGUCUUUAGUGUUUAGCUGGAAAGAAGCCUUAGAGGUCUGGGGUUUCGUGAAAACCAGGAGUUGAUUUAAGAAGCAGAAAUGCUUUUAAAAAAUCCUUUGUUGGAUCAGUUUUUUAAAAAAACUACAUAGAUCCUGUUACAGACUAAAUGUCUGUGUGCUCUCAAAAUUCAUAUAUUGAAACCAUACCCCACAAUGGGAUGGUAUAAGGAGGUGGGUCUUUGGGAGGUAAUUAGGAUGAGAUGAGGCCAUAAGGGUAGAGCCCUCAUGAAUGGGAUUAGUGUUCUUAUAUGAGUCAAGUGAGAGCUUUCUUCCCGUCUCUGAUCUCUGCCACACGAGGAUAUGAGAAGGCAGCAGAUGGCAACACAGAAGAGAGUUCUCACCAGAACUUGAGCAUGUUGGUACCCCGAUCUCAGACUUUCAGCCUCCAGAAGUGUGAGAAAUAAGUUUCUGUCAUUUAUAAUCCACCCAGUAUAUAGCACUUUGUUAUCGCAGCCCAAACUAAGAAAUUUGUUUAGCUGUGUUUCACCAAACACAUCGCAUAGCAUCCAUGCAGAGCAUCUUCAGAAGUCAGGAAUUUGUUAUUCAAUGGCAUCCCUGGGUUCUAGAUACCCCAAACAGAUUAUGCUGCAAGGAUUCCAGACAGCUUUGUAAAGAAAAUUAAAUCAGCGUGAUUCAAAC
rnacentral:lncRNA from 1 species